rnacentral:rRNA from 1 species
AUUGAACGCUGGCGGCAGGCCUAACACAUGCAAGUCGAACGAGUGGCGGACGGGUGAGUAAUGUCUGGGAAACUGCCCGAUGGAGGGGGAUAACUACUGGAAACGGUAGCUAAUACCGCAUACCAUCGGAUGUGCCCAGAUGGGCUUAGCUAGUAGUUGGGGUGACGGCUCACCUGGGCGACGAUCCCUAGCUGGUCUGAGAGGAUGACCAGCCACCCGGGAACUGAGACACGGUCCAAAGUCCUACGGGAGGCAGGAGUGGGGAAUAUUGGACAAUUGGCGCAAGCCUGAUGCAGCCAUGCCGCGUGUAUGAAGAGGGCCUUCGGGUUGUAAAGUACGUUCAGCGGGGAGGCGUUACCCGCAGAAGAAGCACCGGCUAACUCCGUGCCAGCCGCCGCGGUAAUUC